rnacentral:rRNA from 1 species
GCAAGGUUAACCGAAUAGGGGAGCCGGAGGGAAACCGAGUCUUAAUUGGGCGUUAAGUUGCAGGGUAUAGACCCGAAACCCGGUGAUCUAGCCAUGGGCAGGUUGAAGGUUGGGUAACACUAACUGGAGGACCGAACCGACUAAUGUUGAAAAAUUAGCGGAUGACCUGUGGCUGGGGGUGAAAGGCCAAUCAAACCGGGAGAUAGCUGGUUCUCCCCGAAAGCUAUUUAGGUAGCGCCUCGUGAAUUCAUCUCCGGGGGUAGAGCACUGUUUCGGCUAGGGGGCCAUCCCGGCUUACCAACCCGAUGCAAACUGCGAAUACCGGAGAAUGUUAUCACGGGAGACACACGGCGGGUGCUAACGUCCGUCGUGAAGAGGGAAACAACCCAGACCGCCAGCUAAGGUCCCAAAGUCAUGGUUAAGUGGGAAACGAUGUGGGAAGGCACAGACAGCCAGGAUGUUGGCUUAGAAGCAGCCAUCAUUUAAAGAAAGCGUAAUAGCUCACUGGUCGAGUCGGCCUGCGCGGAAGAUGUAACGGGGCUAAACCAUGCACCGAAGCUGCGGCAGCGACGUUUAUGCGUUGUUGGGUAGGGGAGCGUUCUGUAAGCCUGCGAAGGUGGCCUGUGAGGGUUGCUGGAGGUAUCAGAAGUGCGAAUGCUGACAUAAGUAACGAUAAAGCGGGUGAAAAGCCCGCUCGCCGGAAGACCAAGGGUUCCUGUCCAACGUUAAUCGGGGCAGGGUGAGUCGACCCCUAAGGCGAGGCCGAAAGGCGUAGUCGAUGGGAAACGGGUUAAUAUUCCCGUACUUGGUGUUACUGCGAAGGGGGGACGGAGAAGGCUAUGUUGGCCGGGCGACGGUU